rnacentral:rRNA from 1 species
AUUGAACGCUGGCGGCAGGCCUAACACAUGCAAGUCGAGCGGAGCGGCGGAAGGGUGAGUAAUGACUAGGUAUCUGCCUGGUAGUGGGGGAUAAAGUCCGGAAAUGGGCGGUAAUACCGCAUACUAUCAGAUGAGGCUAGGUCGGUUUAGCUAGUUGGUGGGGUAACGGCCUACCAAGGCGACGAUCCGUAACUGGUCUGAGAGGAUGAUCAGUCACACUGGAACUGAGACACGGUCCAGACUCCUACGGGAGGCAGCAGUGGGGAAUAUUGGACAAUGGGCGCAAGCCUGAUCCAGCCAUGCCGCGUGUGUGAAGAAGGUCUUCGGAUUGUAAAGCACUUUAAGUUGGGAGGCGUUACCAACAGAAUAAGCACCGGCUAACUUCGUGCCAGCCGCCGCGGUAAUAC